rnacentral:lncRNA from 1 species
UGUAAUCCCAGCUACUCGGGAGGCUGAGGCAGGAGAAUGGCUUGAACCCGGGAGGUAGAGAUUGCAGUGAGCCGAGAUCAUGCCACUGCACUCCAGCCUGGCGACAGAGAGAGAUCCAUCUCAAAAAAAAAAAAAAAAAAAUUCAUGAAUUCGAUGUUUUGGAAGACUGUUUGUUUUUGGAAAUUUUCUAUGUAUGCAAUGACCCUUUUGAAGAAAUAUCCAGCCCACAGUCAAUGGACUGUUGCCAAUAAAUCAAAAUAAAUCACUGUAGGAAAGUGAUCUAUACACUUAAAAAAAAAAACUAAAUAUUGCUAAACAUUUCAAACCUAUUUUUUAAAUAUUCUAACUUUGUAGCUCUUAAGCAGUUUUAUUGGAUUUUUGAGAAAGGUACAACCAUACUUACAUAUUAUAAAUGAUAGCAGAAGGUAUUUAGCUACUAGCAUUAGAAGGCCGGGCAUGGUGGCUCAUGCCUGUAAUAUCAGCACUUUGGGAGGCUGAGGUGAGAGGAUGGUUUGAGCCCAGGAGCUUGAGACCAGCCUGGAUAGUAUAGCUAGACCUUGUCUCUAUUUACAAAAAAUUAAGAAAAAAAUUAGCUGAGAGUGAUGGUGCACGUCUGUAGUCCCAGCUACCCAGGAGGCUUAGGUGGGUAGAUCACUUGAGCCUGGGAAGCAGAGAUUGCAGUGAGCUGAGAUUGCACCACUGCACUCCAGGCUGGGUGACAGAGCAAAAACUCUGUCUCAAAAAAAAAAAAAAAAAAAAAAAAGGCCAUCUCAGUUGCCAAAUGGAAGAAAAUUCGUGUUCUGAUGUCAGUUAAUUUAAUCCCUUGUAGCCUGGGAACAUCUGUAUUUUGAAUGAUUUAGAAAGGAAUUUCAAAUAUCUGUAUUUAGAGAACUGUCUAAGCGAUGACAUCACUUUCAGUGGAAGUAAUAAUUUGUUCCAGCAUUUCAGCAAAUAGAAUUUUUUUGGCAAAAUAUUUUUGGAACUCCUUUAGUAUUUAAAAAACAUAAAACAGGCGGGGCAUGGUGGCUCACGCCUGUAAUCCCAGCACUU